rnacentral:rRNA from 1 species
AGUGAACGCUGGCGGUAGGCCUAACACAUGCAAGUCGAACGGCAGCACAGUAAGAGCUUGCUCUUACGGGUGGCGAGUGGCGGACGGGUGAGGAAUACAUCGGAAUCUACUUUUUCGUGGGGGAUAACGUAGGGAAACUUACGCUAAUACCGCAUACGACCUACGGGUGAAAGAAGGGGAUCUUCGGACCUUGCGCGAUUGAAUGAGCCGAUGUCGGAUUAGCUAGUUGGCGGGGUAAAGGCCCACCAAGGCGACGAUCCGUAGCUGGUCUGAGAGGAUGAUCAGCCACCCUGGAACUGAGACACGGUCGAGACUACUCCGGGAGGCAGCAGAUAGGAAUAUUGGCCAACAGGCGCAAGACUGAUCCAGCCAUACCGCGUGGGUGCAGAAGGUCUUCGGGUGGUAAAGUCCUUUUGUUAGGAAAGAAAAGCAGCCGGUUAAUACCCCGCUGUUUUGACGGUACCCCCAGCAUCAGAACCGGCUAACUUCGUG